rnacentral:rRNA from 1 species
GGACCCGCACAAGCGGUGGAGUAUGUGGUUUAAUUCGAUGCAACACGAAGAACCUUACCAGGGUUUGAAAUCAUUUCAAAACUCCUUGAAAGAGGAGCCUCCUUCGGGAUGAAAUGACAGGUGGUGCAUGGCUGUCGUCAGCUCGUGUUGUGAAAUGUCGAGUUAAGUCUCGUAACGAGCGCAACCCAUGUCUCUUGUUGCUCACUGAGUGCUUAAGAGAGACUGCCGACCAACAUCCGGAGGAAGGUGUGGAUGAUGUCAAGUCAGCAUGCCCCUUACAUCCUGGGCUACACACGUACUACAAUGGUAGGGACAAUGAGCUGCGAUCCUGCGAAGGCUAGCCAAUCUCAAAAACCCUAUCUCAGUUCGGAUUGUAGGCUGCAACUCGCCUACAUGAAGGUGGAAUCGCUAGUAA